GUGACUGCAGCCUCUUGCCGCCGCCCCUCGAGAAACUUUUCCAGCCCUCCCACUUCCCGCACCCUGAGUUGGGCUCGCUACUCCCGCGCCUCUUGAUCGCCUUUGGCGCCUCGCCUCCUUUACUCUCGCACUUCAAGGAGCGUGACUAGGCAUCUCCGCAUCUCUCUCUCACAUCUGUUACGUCAUCGCUCCUGUCCGCCCUUUUAUUUCGUCACAAGUCUUCGGCUUUCCUUAAGUUUGCAGCCUCCUGACCCCGCCCCUCUAAGUUACGUCAUCAGCCCGCCCUCAUUCUUUUAGUUCUGUCAUCGCCUCCUGUUCCCUGGCUCGUGGUUACCAUCACCAGGGCCCCCACUAACCCUUCCACUUCCCUUCCUCCCUCUCCCCCUCCCUCCCCCUCUUUCCUACCCCCCCCCCAUGACCUGUUCUCCUCCUUUUCUGCUAGAACUUCCAGCCCGGGUGCCCUCGCCCGUCGAAAAAUGUCAUAGUGACUUACCCUUACUUCCUGGGUCUCCGCUGCCUUCCGGGAAAGGAUUCAACCCCUUCCUCACCCUUGAGCUGCCUCUGGCGCCCAGGAAAGGUUACAGCGACCACCCUCCCCGCCCUUCGCCAAACUCAGGCAAAAGGUGCAGCGACCCCUCUCCCCCCGUGGGUUCUCCCCACUUAUCCAGGGACCCUUUCUUUGGUCUCACCUGCAGCCCGGGAAUUUCUUCCAUGACCGGCCAGCCUCUCUCCCUACCCCGACGGAUUCCUUCCCCGCCCCCACCACCCACCUCCCCACCCCCACAGCCUCUCCUGCGCCCAGGAAGAUGUUCUUUUGAACCUUGUUCUCCACUCCUAGGAAGGCCCUACUGCCGGGAGCCUAACCUAUCAGGUUCGUCCCCUCCGAGUCCUUGCAUUAACCAGAUUCGCCUUGUGGGGUCACCCCCUGCCCGUCCACGAAGCCCUUAUUGCAGCUGGAUCAGUCCUCCGAGAACACCACGUCCCUGUCCCCGAGGCCCUUACCCUGACCAACAUACUUACCUCUGUUACUGUGGUGGACACCCUUCAGCCCUGGUAACCAACCCGGUGACCUCCCCUCCCCUCACUCGGAUGCCUUUGGAAACUGGCCCCAUGAUUUCAUCUUCCAUCAAUCCUGGGGCCCAGGGAACUUACCCCAUCAUUUCACCUCCUCUUACUCAUAGGCCCCUGGGAGCUGGCCUUGUAGUUACACCUCCCCUUGCUCACCGGCCCAUGGAAACUAGACCUAUAAUUUCCCCACCCCUUUCUCACAGGGUUUUGGAAUCUGGGCCCAUGACUUCCACUCUGCUUUCUUCCUGGUCCUCAAGGAGAAGUUAUAAUGGCCCUCCUCUUUCCCCAGCAUCUUCCCCACCUACUGGCAACUUUUACCAUGGCCACCUUAAGGGUCCAGACACUUGCGAACCUAAAUCACAGCUUGACCCGCCUCCUGGGAAGAGUUAUUGUGGCUCCCCACUUUCUUCUCAGGCAGGUGCAUCUGGUUGUCCCAGCUCAUCUCAGGAGGGCUCUUAUCACUAUUCCCAACUCCCCCCAGAGGCCCACAUACCUGCCCCUGGGAGCCCUUACUGUACCAUCCACCUGCCUCCUGGGAGUACUGGCUCUCCUUGCUCACCCCAGGCCCAGGUUUCCAGGAAGCCUUGCUUUGAGUCUGUUUACUCCUGGGAGACUGGUGGGAGCUCUUAUCUCUGUGUAACCCCAGGAACCACAGUUUCUGGUCCUCCUUGUCCCCAGGAACCACCUCUUCCCCUGUCCUCCCACUGUCCCUAUUCUGCCUUUUUCCCUUCACCUGCAGGCAACCAGUUUAUAUCUCCACCCCAGUCACCCCCCUGCAGAAGCUAUAAGGAACCCCCUCUUCCUACCCCAGUUUGCCCCCCAACAAAGCCCCCCAAAUCCUCAGAAUUAAAACAGCCAUGUGCUCCCCACAGAUGUCACUCCCUGGUCACCCAGCACACUUCUCCCGACCAGCCCAGGUCUCCUAAGGUCAGCACUUCUCCUCCACCUCCCUCCCGCCCUUCUGGUCCCUCUGGUCCUUCUUGUACGGUGACAUCCAUCACAACUUGCUCAAAUCCCUGCCCCAGAGAACUCCCCCACGGAACUGCCCUACCUCCUGUGGUGCCUAGAGCCCUGAGAACAGUUAUCCCCACUUCCCUUCCCCUCCGCCUUCCUUGUGGCCCUGUUUUCCCCAAUAAUUAUGUUCAGACCAGCCCCCGGCCCCCCAUAGGAGCCCCCUGUAAUACCCACGUAUAUUCUAUGGUUUCCCCCACCCCUGAUCCCUGCUUACUCUCUGGUUCCCUCAAUCAAUCCACAGGUCCCCUUCAGUGUCAUAACCAGCCCGUGGUGCCCCCCUGUGGCACCUAUAGCACUCCUAGGGGCCCACCUCAACCGCAUCGCCAGCCUGUGGCACCUCCUUGUUCUACCCAUAUCUAUUCUUUUAUCCCUUUGAGAACACCCUUUGACCCUCAAAAUUUACCCAUUGCCCCCCGAGCCCGGGGCCACUUGGAUACCAUGCCGUGUGGCCUCCAUGUCUACUCUGUGGCUUCUCGAGACUCCCGCAAGGAGUCCCUCCAGACCCCCUACAGCUGUCCUUUGUCUCCAUCCAAGAGUUCCAGCUGUAGCACUAAUGUCAGCUGUAGUUCAACUGUUGUUAUUAGUGAGUGCCAGAGUAGUGACAGCCAGAGCAAGAACUCCCACCAAAGCACAAGUUGGAGCCACAGUGAGAGUGCCCAUGACGCUAGCCCAAAUUGGAAUAGUCAGAGGAAGGGUUUCCAUCUUAGCAGAAGUCAGAGCGGAAGCAGUAAUACCCAUCAAAGUGUAAAUCAGGAUAAGAUUGAGAGUCUUCAACUUGGUGAAUAUCAGAAUCAGAGCGAAGGUACUCAAUAUAGCAAAAGUCAGGGCCCGAUCAAGAGUGCCCUUCGUAACAAAAGUCGGAGCCCGAGCAAGAGUUCCCGCCGCAGCAAAUCGCGGGACCGGAGCAAGAGUUCCAAGAGCAGCAGGAGCCAGAGCAAGAGUCCACGCCGCCGUGGCACAAGUCGGGGCCAGAGCAAGAGUCCCCACCGUGGCAGAAGUCAUGGUCGAAGCAAGAGUCCCCGCCCUAACACGACAUGAGGGCAGAGAAAGAGUUCUGAUCAAACCAAAAAUCCAGGCCAGAGCAAAAUUCAUCGUAACAGCUGCCAGCUAUAGCAUGUGUGGCAGCUGUGGCAACCAGGACCAAAUUAUGGACACCUCAGCCAAGGGCUUUCUAUUCUGUUUAAUCUACUUCUGUGCUCCUCAAGCCUGACUCAUGUCCCUCUGCAAGCCCCUUAACAGUCAUGCUAGAAGUCCCCGUUUUGGUUUGUAUCUCGAGGCUUCUGUGAGCUCGCCUCAUCCUACCUUCCAGGAGUCUGGGAACUUUCCCAGAGUGAUCCUCAGCCCCGUGAUUCUGAGCACUGUGCUGUCAGUCACUGCAUGACCUUAGGCUGCCACAGAGCCCAAAUUUCCUGCCACUCGACUGGCUUUGCAGAAUUUUGACAUGACCU